GAUCAUGGCUCAGGAUGAACGCUAGCUACAGGCUUAACACAUGCAAGUCGAGGGGCAGCAUGAACUUAGCUUGCUAAGUUUGAUGGCGACCGGCGCACGGGUGAGUAACACGUAUCCAACCUGCCGAUGACUCGGGGAUAGCCUUUCGAAGAAAGAUUAAUACCCGAUGGCAUAGUUCUUUCCGCAUGGUGGAACUAUUAAAGAAUUUCGGUCAUCGAUGGGGAGUGCGUUCCA
rnacentral:rRNA from 1 species